rnacentral:lncRNA from 1 species
GUUGUCAGUAGUGCUAGAGUACGGCCGUGCUCAUUCGACUAAUCAUCACUUUUUUUUUAUUUUAGCAACUGAGUGUCCUGAGAAACUAGAAUCCAUUCCAAUAUUAUAGUUAUGUAUGAUGAAGUUAAGUGUUCAGUGAAAUGUUACCGAGAGCCAAAGUGGAGGAGUUUAGAGCGUAUUAAUGUUUAGUUUAUUUCUUUU